UUUUUUUUUGUCUAUUUAAGACACGUGGCUUAAAAUAAGUUAUUCUACUUAUAAAAUUGUAAAGGAAGGAGUUAGGAAAUUGUACCUGCUAUGUGUUAGAUUUUUCUAGCUAAGUCAUUUCGGAAAUAAUCUAAAUAUAUAGAAGGCUGGUUACUCUUCUGGAAGUCUGAUGUUAUUGUUUCUCAGACCUAGUGGCAAUGCAGAAGCAGGCUGUUGAAUUAAGUGGAGCUGAAACUAUGGCUUCCUGCACCACACCUGUUAAUCACUGAAAUGAAAGGCCAAUUCAAACACUACCAGUUGUCCAAUGCUGCCUGUGUUACCAUGCAUUCACUUAUGACUCUCGUGGGAGCAUCACUGCUGUGAAAUCUAUAGAAUUAGAAACUGCCCCAAAAUUCUGCCCAGAAGAGAAUGCAAACAUUUCACUCAAAUGAGCAAGGGCAGGGAAAUUGAUGAGGCUACUAAUUAUUCUUGAAAGAGCCAGAGAGGAGUGGAGAACAUUCAGGCUUCAUAAUGUAGUGUGGAGCCAGGAAUGAAUUUCCCUUAACUUUAAAAGGCUUCGGAUCCACAGACAUGAGGGCUGUGAAUUAGAAACAGGUCUCCUCCUCUAUUGCAAUCCUAACAUUUCCCUUGUGGAUUAAGGCAGUUGGAGUAUAAAUUUUUGAAAAUUGUGAAAUUUUCUAUUUUCUUUCCAACAGUGAAUAUCUGCAUAAUAGGAGGAUAGAGACCAUAACUGCUUUGACUCAUCUUUUGUCUUCCUGGCUUUUAUGAAAAUUAAAGGUUUUUUUUUUUCCCUAAAUACCAAAAAGGAACACCAUGAUAGUUCAAACAGUAAAGGCUUUCAGAGAAAGGCUCCAUUACUCAAUAUUUAAGUUAACUAUGCAAAUGAGAAAUCCUGGGCCUAAGUGAAAUUACUCUGGACUUUAAAAAGGCCAAGUAGUAUUUGGUUUUUAACCCCUAGAUGUGUCAAAGGUUCAAGUCAAAAAUUUCAGGAAAAAUUAGAACAAAUUCUUUGAUUAAUAUACUGAGACAAAUGGCAACUAUUUUAAGCUCCAUGCAAGGGAAAAUAAACUAUUCACACUAUCUUCUGCAUCCCUCCUUAAGAUAAUAAAGAAGAUAAUAGGAAGCAAGGGCCUGAAAAAAAGCAAUACCUGGUGAGAGCAGACUCACUUUCCCAGGAGACCUGGGGUUCACUCUGCCCACGUGUAUUUGCAUUUUUAAUUAGACAUGUUUAAAGACUGAUAAACUUCCAAGCCUGAAGGAAUGAAAUUUUAUUCUUGGAAAAUCAAGUGGCAUGACUGGCAUUUAAGAUGGGAAAGAUUUAAAUGUGUGCCAGAGAAGGAUGAGUGGCUUGAUAUCCCCCCAAAUUACCAAUGAGAUAGCAAAAAAAUUCAAUUAAAGCUCACCAUUUGCUGAAUGUUGUUGUAGGUCGUCCUAUGACAACUAGCACUUACUCUCAAAUUGCUUGUAAUUCAUGAGUGUCAUAAGAAAUACAUGGCAAUCUUAUGAGAAAAUGUUUAUUUUGACACAGCAUAGGAGAUGUCAUGUGAAAAUAUGAAGUUAGGGAAACCAAUUCUCCAUGCUAAGAUGGUGAAGAAAAUUUAUGGUAAUUAAACAAUCACAGUUACUUGCAUUGUCUAAUUAUAGUAACAUUCCUAAUGGCUGAAGUAUGUUUUUCUGCUUUUGAAUUGACCCUGAAGUCUUUCAUUAUUAGUUUAAAGAGGAGCAUAAUCAAUCCUGAGAAACGCUCUCAUUUCUCACCUACGUCACUUCUUGACCUUCAUGGCCCUCUCACAAAGGGCGGUUGAUAGCAUAAAAAUCAGUUUAACAUACUGGCCAUAAUUUCUCUCUUUUAUAUCUACUAUAAAAUGUUUAAACUACCCCAGGAAGUCAGACAGAGCUUGGUGUACCAGGAUAAAUGUAAGGAAGGCUUGGUUAUUAAAACCAUGAGGAAUGAUGGAUGGAUGGCCUCAUUUGAAGCAAGGAAGUGUGUUGGAAACAUACUCAACCAGGACAGAAAAGACACGUUCUUCCCAGAAGCUUACCAAAGCUUGUUGUAGGCCAAUACAUUUCAUUUUGGUGACCUCCCACAAUGGAACCAUGGCUCAAUACAAUGGAGUAAUAUUUUCCUUGGUUUCUGAAAGUAAAUACAAACUCUGGGUACCAUCUGGAUGUGCAGGUGCAACUGAGGGUCUUCAUCCUGUACCCAUUCAGCCAGGACAGCACAUCCUGUCCAAGAUCCAGGCUUCAGAGAGGCAGGCAAAGGCAGGAAACUGUUUCCCAGGCAGAAUGUGUCAUUCAAGGGACUUGUAAAUGUUCUCUGGUUAUUCAUUUGUAGAACGACCAGGUCUGGAUUACAGGACAUUAUUCUAAACUAGAGCAGAAAAUCUAUAAUUGAAGCAAUCCAGAUAGAUUCCAGGAUAAGGAUGGUGACUUAAAUCUUUAAAGAGUUUUGUUGUUUUUGUUUUAUAUACUAGAGAGCUGCUAGAUCAGUCCAGCCUAAAUCCAUAGAACAGCAGAUGACCCACUGUCUUGGCCAAGUUAUUGAUUAAUGACAUUUAAAAAUUUUUACAUAAUAGGAGUUCCCGUCGUGGCACAGUGGUUCUGACUAGGAACCAUGAGGUUGCGGGUUCGAUCCCUGGCCUUGCUCAGUGGGUUAAGGAUCCGGCGUUGCUGUGAGCUGUGGUGUAGGUCACAGACGUGGCUUGGAUCUGACAUUGCUGUGGCUGUGGUGUAGGCUGGCAGCUACAGCUCCCAUUCGACCUCUAGCCUGGGAACCUCCCCACGCCUAGGGAAGUGGCCCUAGAAAAGGAAAAAAGACAAACAAAAAAAUUUACAUAAUCUUCAUUUUGUUGACAUGUAUACUUCAGAGCUGAUAACAUGCAUUGUGCUCCUCUUUUUUUUUUUUCCAGUUUGUAUCUAAAUCAGUAAAUGAUAGGUGGUUUUCUGGCUAUUUCCUUGCAUGUGAGAAAAUAAACUGCCAAGCAGCUAUUGGCUCAGAAAAUUU
rnacentral:lncRNA from 1 species